UACGUAGGGUGCAAGCGUUAAUCGGAAUUACUGGGCGGAAAGCGUGCGCAGGCGGUUAUGUAAGACAGGGGUGAAAUCCCCGGGCUUAACCUGGGAACUGCAUUUGUGACUGCAUAGCUAGAGUACGGUAGAGGGGGAUGGAAUUCCGCGUGUAGCAGUGAAAUGCGUAGAUAUGCGGAGGAACACCGAUGGCGAAGGCAAUCCCCUGGACCUGUACUGACGCUCAUGCACGAAAGCGUGGGGAGCAAACAGG
rnacentral:rRNA from 1 species